GUAUUCGUGAUCCAGCUCCCCUUCCCACCACGAUCCUGCCAGCUCUGGAUCUGGCCACACCCAUCCCGGGCCACACCCGGAUCCAUCCCCUCAUCCCCAUCUCCCCUUUUCCCCGCGGGGCUCCGGGCGGCCGUGACCCUGCUGGAGUCCGGGGGGGACCUCCAGCCCCCCGGGGGGUCCCUGCGCCUCCUCUGCCGAGGGUCCGGGUUCGUUUUUGGCAGUUUUGGGAUGGGCUGGAUGCGCCAGAGGCCCGGGCAGGGGCUGGAGUGGAUCGCAGGGAUCAGCCGCGGUGGUUCUGGCACCAGAUACGGGCCGUCGGUGCGGGGCCGGGUGACGAUCUCCAGGGACAACGGGCAGAGCUCGGUGACGCUGACCAUGAACAGCCUCAAGGACGAGGAUUCCGGAUCCUAUUUCUGUGCCAAAUCU